rnacentral:misc_RNA from 1 species
AAAGUCGUAACAAGGUUUCCGUAGGUGAACCUGCGGAAGGAUCAUUAACAAAUUCUAAACAACUGUGUUUCUUUAACUGUUUCGUCCGUUGGUAGUCUCUCUCAAAAGGGGGGCCUAUUGGUUGAUAGCGAUGGUUAAAGAAGUCACUAACAUAUACACUUUGAUUGACAACACCUAGUGAUCUAGAUAUUAAUUGUAUACAACUUUUAACAAUGGAUCUCUUGGCUCUU